GCAAGUCGAGGGGCAUCGCAGGUAGCAAUACUGGGCGGCGACCGGCAAACGGGUGCGGAACACGUGCGCAACCUUCCUUCAAGAGAUGGAUAGCCCGAAUAACUUCGGAUUACUACAUCGCACAAUCACAAAGUGGCAUCAGUGUUUGAUCAAACGAAUUUCGCUUGAAGAUCGGCGUGCGCCUGAUUAGGUAGUUGGUGAGGUAACGGCUCACCAAGCCAUCGAUCAGUAACCGGAGUGAGAGCGCGACCAGUCACACGGGCAUUGAGACACGGGCCCGACUCCUACGGGAGGCAGCAGUAAGGAAUAUUGGUCAAUGGACGCAAGUCUGAACCAGCCAUGCCGCAUGAAGGAUGAAGGCCCUCUGGGUCGUAAAUUUAUUUUAUCUGGGACGAAAUCACUUUUUUCUAAGAGUGUUGACGGUGCCAGAGGAAUAAGCACCGGCUAACUCCGUGCCAGCAGCCGCGGUAAUACGGAGGGUGCAAGCGUUAUCCGGAUUCACUGGGUUUAAAGGGUGCGUAGGCGGACUUGUAAGUCCGUGGUGAAAUCUCCGGGCUUAACCUGGAAACUGCCAUGGAUACUAUAAGUAUUGAAUGUUGUGGAGGUUAGCGGAAUAUGUCAUGUAGCGGUGAAAUGCAUAGAUAUGACAUAGAACACCAAGUGGGAAGGCAGCUGGUUACACAAAUAUUGACGGUGAGGCAAGAAAGCGUGGGGAUCAAACAGGAUUAGAUACCUUGUUAGUCCACGCCAUAAAGGAUGAUUACUCGACAUAUAUGAUACACCAUAUGUGUCUGAGCGAAAGCAUUAAGUAAUCCACCUGGGAAGUACGAC
rnacentral:rRNA from 1 species